UUUAACUGACGCUCAGGCACGAAAGCAUGGGUAGCAAACAGGAUUAGAUACCCUGGUAGUCCAUGCCGUAAACGAUGAUUACUAGGUGUGGGGGGACUGACCCCCUCCGUGCCGCAGUUAACACAAUAAGUAAUCCACCUGGGGAGUACGGCCGCAAGGUUGAAACUCAAAGGAAUUGACGGGGGCCCGCACAAGCAGUGGAGUAUGUGGUUUAAUUCGAAGCAACGCGAAGAACCUUACCGGGGCUUGACAUCCUGAGAAUCUGCCAGAGAUGGCGGAGUGCCCUUCGGGGAAUUCAGAGACAGGUGGUGCAUGGUUGUCGUCAGCUCGUGUCGUGAGAUAUUGGGUUAAGUCCCGCAACGAGCGCAACCCUUGCUUUUAGUUGCUACGCAAGAGCACUCUAGAAGGACUGCCGUUGACAAAACGGAGGAAGGUGGGGACGACGUCAAAUCAUCAUGCCCCUUAUGUCCCGGGCUACACACGUACUACAAUGGCCGUCAACAGAGGGAAGCAAAGGAGCGAUCCGGAGCAAACCCCUAAAAACGGUCCCAGUUCAGAUUGCAGGCUGCAACUCGCCUGUAUGAAGUUGGAAUGCUAGUAA
rnacentral:rRNA from 1 species